AAUGCACGCUGGGACGUGUAGUCGCCUGCUGCGCUGGUGUCGGGCUUCCCAGCUUCCGAACCAUCGCAGUGGGGAGGUCCAUGUGCAGGUUGGGGUAGAUUGGCCUUUUGGCUGUCUCCUCAGGACCACAUCUGCUGAGCCAGGACCUUCUCAGGGCUCUUUGCCUUUGUCAUUGCCGAUGCUACACAUCCACACCGGUCACCAAUCUCUGGGUCACCAUGGGGACGUCAAGUUCCCUGAAUGUAUUGCUGUUGUUGUUCCAAGAAAAACCGCAAGAUAGUCUUAUGCCUGCUAUGUAAAGAUUAGUUGCAACACUCCCCUAACUGCCAACAUCUUGCUUCUCUACUGCUGCUUGCCAAGUUCCCUAUUGCGACUCCUAUAAAAGGACCUCAGACUCUGAGCUGACCACCUCUCUAAGCUUGGUGCUUGGAGGGUGCUGUCUGGCCAGACUAAUAAAGGUCUGUUUUACUUUCUCAAUUUGUCCGGUGUGUUCCCUCCUGGGUGAUUCUCACUGUAGUCAGCUCCUCAGAGCAGUUGGUAAGGCCCACGGUCUUACAUUUGGAGGCUCCAGUGAGAUCCCCCGGUAGGAACCCCCAAUUCGGCCAAGACUCCAUGGCGGGAUCCAGCAGAAGACCUUCGGGCACAGACCUCAGGAAACCUCUGGAGGUAAGCUUUCGGCCGGUUGCAACCGUUUGUUAAGUCAGGAGUGAGGUGGCUGAUGAGCUGGUAAGCCUCCCCUGACCCCGAGAUUCCUGACGAGGAGCAAGGGAAGAUUUAGUUUCAUUUUGUCAUGGCACCCGUUCAUCUCAUCUUUUGUAUGUUAGGGUUGUGUCUGUUGUGUGUCUGAUUUUACAUUUUUUCAGUCCUCAUCAGGAGCAGAGUAAUGGAAGGAUCAUGUUCUACCGGGUCCACUCCACUUGACUGUUUUCUCACUAAUUUUAAAUUGGCUUUUUCUCCAGAACAAGAAGAUGAAUAUGGGGUAAAAUUUUCUCGCAAAAGACUCUGCUCCCUGUGCCAACUGGAAUGGCCAGCCUUCGGGGUGGGAUGGCCAGCCGAAGGGACUUUUGACCCCAGUAUUUGCUGGGCGGUUUGGGGCAAGGUCACCAGUCACCCUGGCCACCCAGACCAAUUUCCCUACAUAGACAUCUGGGUUCAAGCUUGUGAGGAACCUCCAGCUUGGCUGCGGUGCUGUUCCCUUCGAAAAAACACUCGCAUUUUAGUCGCUGCCCUGAAAGGAUCCCAGGGACUUAAGACCCGGGCUCCCAAGCCAGUACUCUUGCAGGAACUUGACCCCGUAGACCCCCUUGGGAGGGCCUCCACCCUAUGUGGAAUCCUCCUCCCUUUUUUCCUUUAAAACAGACAGAGCCCGGGGGAGGAUUGAUUUAUGUCCCUUUUACAACUAGUGAUCUUUACAAUUGGAAACAUCAAAAUCCCUCCCUUCUCUGAAAAACCUCAGCCAUUAAUCUCUUCUUGAGUCUGUUUUUCAUACCCAUCAGCCAACCUGAGAUGAUUGCCAGCAGCUUUUACAGAUCCUGUUCACCACUGAGGAGCUGGACCGCAUUUAUCAACAGACAGUCAAAGAGGCCCUGGGGCCAAACCCCGUCUUCACUCCUGGAACUCAGGGGCAUUCAGCCAAGGCUGAAACAGUAGUUCUGUUGAAACACCUCCAAUGGGACCCCAAUGAUGAUGACGGUAAGAGGAGGCUGGGGACCUACCGCCAGCACUUAUUAGGGGGACUCCGGGCAGUGGCCAGAAAGCCCAUUAAUUUGAAUAAGGUAAUUGAGGUCCGCCAGGGAAAAACGGAGUCUCCAGCUGCAUUUUUGGAGAGACUCUUAGAAACCUAUAGAGUUUUCACUCCUUUUGACCCAGAGGCUCCUGAAAAUGCAGCAGCUUUAAAUCUGGCCUUUGUUUCCCAGUCAGCCCCAGACAUUAGAAAAAAAAAAUUACAGAAAUUGGAGGGAUUUAAGGGAAAGAAUAGGACAGAACUCCUGAGCAUAGCCCAGAAAGUUUAUGAUAACCGUGAUGCCCCCCGAGGAAGUCCUAGCCAAGAAACUGGGAAAAGUCACUAUUGCUACACUCUAGGCAUGAGAGACAGUCCCUCCGGACAGAAAAAGAGAAAGCUGCCUUUUUGGCUUUAAAGAAAGCCUUAGUGUCAGCACCCUCCCUGGCCCUACCUGAUGUCACCAAGCCCUUUUGGUUGUCUGUGGCUGAACGAGGGGGCAUAGCCAAAGGAGUGCUAGCUUAGGCAUUAGGGCCUUGAAACAGACCUGUGGCCCACUGUCUAAAAGACUUGAUCAUGUGGCAAGUCUACCUAUUUGAGGGCAGUUACAGCCACCGCCCUCCUGGUCAAGGAGGCAGAUAAGCUCAGCCUGGGAUGGGACCUGGUCAUCACCACACCCCAUGCGGUGGAAACAUUGCUGAGAGGAGCCCCAGAACGAUAGCUCUCCAAUGCCUGCCUGACUCAGUACCAGGCCCUGUUGCUGGAUGCUCCAUGCAUCAAAUUCACCUGAGAAAUGACCCUCAAUCCGGCUACCUUUCUCCUGGACUCCAACUCAUACAUAUGCCCCUCCAUGACUGUCUGGACACUCUGACAACUUCCACCACCAACAGCCCAGAUCUGACUGAUGUUGCCCUGCAAAGCCCAGAUGAGACCUUCUUCACUGAUGAAAACAGCUUCAUGGAAGACUGAGUCAGGUAUGCGGGGGUGGCUGUAGUCAGUCCAGAAAAACAGGUACACUGGACACAGGCAUUAAGCCAAAAGACUUCAACACAGAGGGCUGAACUAAUAGCCUUAACUCAAGCCCUGUUAGGUCAAGACAAGGCUGUAAACAUCUACACUGACAGCCGGUAUGCAUUCACCACUGCCCAUGUACAUGGCAACAUCUACAGACAGAGAGGGCUAUUGACAUCAGAAGGGAAAACUAUAUAAAAAGUUUUGGCCUUAUUGGAGGCAAUUUGGAAACCCAGGGCGUUGGCCAUUAUUCAUUACAAAAGCCACCAAAAAAAGAGACAGGUUUGAAGCCCAUGGUAACCGAGAGGCCGAUGAUGCAGCCCAAAGGGUGGCCAAAGAACCAGUGGGGCCAAUAGACACUCUGCCUGUCUGGCCCUUUUGGCUACCUGCCAGAAAAGCCCACAUAUACCCCGGAAGAGAAAGAGGAAUAUCAAAAGCAAGGGGGUGCAAAAUUGGACUCAGGCUGAUGGAAAGAGACAAAGAAACGAAUUUGUCUCCCCCAAGCCCUGGGGUGACAACUUGUUCAUCAGUUACAUCACUUAACUCACCUGGGAAAAUCAAAGUUAAAAAGACUAAUGAGCUCUUAAGUUUUCAAUCCCAGGACUGACCUGUAUGGUCCAGGACAUCAGUUCCAGGUGUCAGGUGUGUUCACAGUUAAACUCCAAGACAAGACCAAGGAACAAAGGUAAUCGACUACAGGGAAGAGAGUCAGAGAAACAUUGGGAACUUGAUUUCACUGAAAUAAAAUCCAACACUAGGUUCAAAUAUUUACUGUUAUUGGCUGACACCUACUCAGGUUGGGUAGAAGCUUUCCCCACUCCUGGAGAAUCAGCCAACAUAGUAACUAAGGUUUUGCUCCAGGAGAUAGUUCCCCAAUUUGACAUCCCUCAUUGCCUGGGGUCCGACAAUGGGUCUGCCUUCACGGCACAGAUAUCCAAAUUUUUGACAAGGGCACUAGAUAUUGAUUAAAAGUUACACUGUGCCUAUCGCCCACAAAGUUCAGGGCAAGUGGAAAAGAGAGAUAGGACCCUUAAAAAAAACUCUGACUAAAUAUGUUCUAGAAACUGGCAGUAGGUAGCCCGAUCUGCUUCCUCUAACCUUGUUAAGAGUUAGGUGUACCCCAUAUGUGACAAGUUUACCCCUUUUAAGUUAAACCUUGAACAGAUAACAGAGAGUUCUUGUGUUGCUUUACUUCAGUCUCUUCAAGCCUUACAGAUUCUUCAGAGUGAGAUCCAGGCUACAAAACAACAGGCUCAAGAAAAAAAACCCUUUGCGACGUUCCAGUCCCACGGUUUCAAGCCAGAAGACCUGGUCCUGAUGUGCUUGGUUUGCUUGCACCAAGGACUUGACUAAAUACAUUCCCAAAUCAGUCUUGGCUACCCAAUCUGCCGCUUUAUUUUGUGUCACCAUGUAUGUUGUUCCACAAGUCUUGUAUUAU